AUUGAACGCUGGCGGCAGGCCUAACACAUGCAAGUCGAGCGGAGAGGCGGACGGGUGAGUAAUGCCUAGGAAUAUGCAUGGUAGUGGGGGAUAACGUUCGGAAACGGGCGCUAAUACCGCAUACUAUUAGCAGCGCCUAGGUCGGAGUAGCUAGUGGGUGGGGUAAAGGCCUCCCAAGGCGACGAUCCGUAACUGGUCUGAGAGGAUGAUCAGUCACACUGGAACUGAGACACGGUCCAGACUCCUACGGGAGGCAGAAGUGGGGAAUAUUGGAAAAUGGGCGAAAGCCUGAUCCAGCCAUGCCGCGUGUGUGAAGAAGGUCUUCGGAUUGUAAAGCACUUUAAGUUGGGAGGCGUUACCAACAGAAUAAGCACCGGCUAACUUCGUGCCAGCAGCCGCGGUAAUAC
rnacentral:rRNA from 1 species